rnacentral:rRNA from 1 species
CCUACGGGAGGCAGCAGUUUCGAAUCAUUCACAAUGGGCGAAAGCCUGAUGGUGCGACGCCGCGUGAGGGAUGAAGGUCUUCGGAUUGUAAACCUCUGUCACCGGGGAAGAAACGCUUCAAGUUAAUAGUUUGAAGCCUGACUUAACCCGGAGAGGAAGCAGUGGCUAACUCUGUGCCAGCAGCCGCGGUAAUACAGAGACUGCAAGCGUUAUUCGGAUUCACUGGGCGUAAAGGGUGCGCAGGCGGCCAAGUGUGUGAGGCGUGAAAGCCCGGAGCUUAACUCCGGAAUUGCACCUCAAACUACUUGGCUAGAGCAUUGGAGAGGGUAGCAGAAUUCGACGGUGUAGCAGUGAAAUGCGUAGAUAUCGUGAGGAAUACCAGAGGCGAAGGCGGCUACCUAGACAAUUGCUGACGCUCAGGCACGAAAGCGUGGGGAGCAAAAGGGAUUAGAUACCCCUGUAGUCCACGACCGUAACGUACGCACACUACGUCGUUGGUCGGACGUUACCGUACCCCGACCCGACCGGGACCCGACGACGUAACCGUACCGUUAACGUUAGGUCGGCCGGUCCCGUCGUAGGUUACGUUACCGGUCCGGCCGAACGGACGUUAAACCGUUACGAACGGAAGUUAGACGGCGNGAGACGCGCCGACGGACGACGACGAGGGAGGAGG